rnacentral:rRNA from 1 species
UGGGGAAUCUUCCGCAAUGGACGAAAGUCUGACGGAGCAACGCCGCGUGAGUGAUGACGGCCUUCGGGUUGUAAAGCUCUGUUAAUCGGGACGAAUGGUUCUUGUGCGAAUAGUGCAAGGAUUUGACGGUACCGGAAUAGAAAGCCACGGCUAACUACGUGCCAGCAGCCGCGGUAAUACGUAGGUGGCAAGCGUUGUCCGGAAUUAUUGGGCGUAAAGCGCGCGCAGGCGGAUUGGUCAGUCUGUCUUAAAAGUUCGGGGCUUAACCCCGUGAUGGGAUGGAAACUGCCGAUCUAGAGUAUCGGAGAGGAAAGUGGAAGUCCUAGUGUGGCGGUGAAAUGCGUAGAUAUUAGGAAGAACACCAGUGGCGAAGGCGACUUUCUGGACGAAAACUGACGCUGAGGCGCGAGAGCCAGGGGAGCGAACGGG